AACGUAGGGGACAAGCGUUAUCCGGAUUUACUGGGCGUAAAGCGCCCGUAGGCGGCCUGACAAGUUGGACGUGAAAGCUCCUGGCUUAACUGGGAGAGGCCGUUCAAAACUGUCAAGCUAGAGUCUGGAAGAGGAGAGCGGAAUUCCCGGUGUAGUGGUGGAAUGCGUAAAGAUCGGGAGGAACACCAGUGGCGAAAGCGGCUCUCUGGUCCAAAACUGACGCUGAGGGGCGAAAGCGUGGGGAGCGAACGGG
rnacentral:rRNA from 1 species